rnacentral:rRNA from 1 species
UACGUAGGGCGCAAGCGUUGUCCGGAAUUAUUGGGCGUAAAGAGCUCGUAGGUGGCGUGUCGCGUCUGCCGUGAAAGCCCAUGGCUUAACUGUGGGUCUGCGGUGGAUACGGGCAGGCUAGAGGCUGGUAGGGGCAAGCGGAAUUCCUGGUGUAGCGGUGAAAUGCGCAGAUAUCAGGAGGAACACCGGUGGCGAAGGCGGAUCUCUGGGCCAUUACUGACGCUGAGGAGCGAAAGCGUGGGGAGCGAACAGG